AUUGAACGCUGGCGGCAUGCUUUACACAUGCAAGUCGAACGGCAGCGCGGGCUUCGGCCUGGCGGCGAGUGGCGAACGGGUGAGUAAUGCAUCGGAACGUGCCCAGUAGUGGGGGAUAGCCCGGCGAAAGCCGGAUUAAUACCGCAUACGACCUGAGGGUGAAAGCGGGGGACCGAAAGGCCUCGCGCUAUUGGAGCGGCCGAUGUCGGAUUAGCUAGUUGGUGGGGUAAAGGCUUACCAAGGCGACGAUCCGUAGCUGGUCUGAUAGGACGACCAGCCACACUGGGACUGAGACACGGCCCAGACUCCUACGGGAGGCAGCAGUGGGGAAUUUUGGACAAUGGGGGCAACCCUGAUCCAGCCAUGCCGCGUGCGGGAAGAAGGCCUUCGGGUUGUAAACCGCUUUUGUUCGGGAAGAAAUCCUCUGGGCUAAUACCCCGGGGGGAUGACGGUACCGGAAGAAUAAGCACCGGCUAACUACGUG
rnacentral:rRNA from 1 species